ensembl:lncRNA
CGCCCCGUUGUGAGGUGGUGGUCUGGACUUCGUGGGUCCUUCUCCAAAACUUUCAGUAAGAACCUUUAGGCUGCAAACAACACCUGAUUCUAGCUUAGCUAGACUCUAUUUGUCAGGUGGACUACACUAUCUGUCAUAACAAAACCCCAAAUCUCAAGGGCUUAACCCAAUAGCCCUUUAUUUUUUGCCCACGCAAAGUCCAAUGUAGGUGCUCCUGGCCGAGCUGCACUCCUGGACGGCUCUGCUCCAGCCUGUAACCAGGGAACCAAGCUGCUUCUGUCUUUUAGUCCUGCCAUCUUGUGGCUUCAGGGUUACCCUGAUGUCACCCACCUGGCUAGAUCGGGGAAGGGGACAGGGGUGGUGGUGAGAAGGUGAAGGAUCAGGCACCUGAAUUUUUUUUUUUUUUCAAGAUUUUAUUUUUUCCUUUUUCUCCCCAAAGCCCCCCGGUACAUAGUUGUGUAUUCUUCGUUGUGGGUUCCUCUAGUUGUGGCAUGUGGGACGCUGCCUCAGCGUGGUCUGACGAGCAGUGCCAUGUCCGCGCCCAGGAUUCGAACCGACGAAACACUGGGCCGCCUGCAGCGGAGCGCGCGAACUUAACCACUCGGCCAUGGGGCCAGCCCCUCAGGCACCUGAAUUUAACCACCUUGACCCAGAAGUAAGCCACUUCAUGUCACAUUCCAUUAGUGAGAACGAGUCACGUGGUUCCCUCUAGAUUGCAGGGGAGGGGAUGCUGGAAAUGUCAUCCGUGGCUGGAGACUUGCUUCCAAGGACUAACUCUACAUAACACGGGUAUGCACGGAUCUUCGGCAGGUGACUAGUCAUCUCUGCCAAACAACCUAAGGAAGAAAAAUGUAUCUUCCAUAAAAAGAAAUCUCGAGAUAAACGGGCCCCAAGCUUAGUUAAUUCAGCAGCUCAAAGAUAAAUUUAAAGACCCACAGUCUUUCCGUGUUUUCACACUUGCAUCCUUAGGCCAGUAUCCAUCAAAUGCAGAGACAGCACCUAACAGGAGAGCUGCCGCUCUCCUGUGUAUCUUGAAGCGGGAAGAAACCUUUCUUAGAAGCACUCCGUUAGACUUUCUCCUUAUUCUCACUGACCGCAACUGGGUCACGUGGCCACCCCUAAGCCAGUCACGAAUAGGGGGAAUGGAAUCACCAUGACAGUUCUCAGCCCUAGCUGCGCGUUAGCACCAGCUGGAGGAAAUUUUUUAAAAUACAAAUGUCCGCCGCCUAGAUUCUCAUUUAUUUGGUCUGAGGGGAGCCUGAGCUUCAGAAGUCACCAGCUGAUGGUUUAAGGACCAAAGUCCAUUCACAUUCUUCUUUAGCUUGAUCCAUGGGAUGUUUACAAAAAUUGGGAACUUAAAAUGAUAAAGCAAAUUGGGCAAAAUGUUAGCAACUGGUGAAUCUGGGUAAAGGGUAUAGGAGCUCUUUAUGCCAUCCUUGCAUUUUUUUCUAUAGGCUUGACACUAUAUUGAAAUAAAAAGUGACCAAAAAAAAAAAGGAGAGGGCCGGCCCGGUGGCGCAGCAGUUAAGUUCGCACGUUCCACUUCUCGGCAGCCCAGGGUUCGCCGGUUCGGAUCCCGGGUGCAGACAUGGCACCGCUUGGCAAAAGCCAUGCUGUGGCAGGCGUCCCACAUAGAAAGUAGAAGAAGAUGGGCACGGAUGUUAGCUCAGGGCCAGUCCUGCUCAGCAAAACGAAGAGAGUUGGCAGUAGCUAGCUCAGGGCUAAUCUUCCUCAAAAAAAAAAAAAAGAAAAGAAAAGGAAAAGUGGGAACUUACACAUAAAAGUCAGGAUUUGGGGCUUCUCUUGAAAAUCAGGAAAUCUGGAGAAACUGGGUCUGUAUUCCUGCAGAAAAUAAAAAGCAGCCAAGUAGCAGUGCCCAGGCCUCGGGUCAAGCCCAUGCCAGGGCCUGUGGUGUUGUUAGCCAGAGCGCAGGUGAGCCUUAGAAUCAGGCGUGGGAAUCACUCUCUGGAGUCCUUUCAAUUUUUAUUCAUUUUCUUCUAUCCUCUUCCGUCCUCUUCCAGCCUCUAAGUAUAGCUGGGAUUAUUUUUUGCCAAACACAGCACCUUGCACUUGCCCACACUGAAGCUCCUCCUUGGCAACUCCUCUGCCCACUCGCACAGCCUGGUGAGAUCUUCCCGCAGCUUAUCACCAGCGGCUUGGCAUUUCACUACCUGGCACAGCUAAGUGUCAUCAGCGAAUGUGGGGCUCUCACCACUUACUCCUCCACAUUAGUUAGGCAAAUGUCAAAUAGGACCAGGCCCAGCACCGACACCCCACUGUUUGCAAUUAAUUAAUUAACUAACUCAUAACAACCCAACUAAGUCUCCAGCUGCAAGCAGAAGCAGCCAACUGCGGUUAGUUUAAGCAACAGAGGAAUUUCGUGUAAGUUGGGGCUUCUCCACAGCGGUGCUAUUGAAGUUUGGGGAUGGGUAAUUCUUUGUGGUGGGGGACGUCCUGUGCACGAUAGGACUCUUAGCAGCGUACCUGGCUUCUACUCACCCCGAUGCCAGCAGCUCCCCUCCCACCCCCCAAGUUGUGAUGACCAAAAAUAUCUCUAGACGUUGCCAAAUGUCUGGGGUCGGGGAGGGAGGAGUAAAAUUUCUCCCAGUGAGAAAGCUAAGAGCGAAGCCUCAGAAAAGAUGGCCAUCUGAGUCAUUCCAGGGUUCUAAACAGCAAGGACUAAUAGACGGUUGACUUUGAAUCCUGGCUCCACCGUCUCCUAGAUGUACGACUUCAGUCAAGUUACUUCUCUGUGCCUCAGUUUCCUCCUCUGUGAAAUGGGAUAAUCAGGAUAGAUUGGGGUAUACAGAGGAAACAAACACCUGCAAAUAUCAGUAGCUUAAAACACAUGCUCUGUGCCCAAUGUGGUCAGCUGGGGCUCUGCUCACGCUGUCCGCUCCAAGAGACCCAGGCUCCUAGAGGCUCCACCAUCUGGACAGUGCUGGUCAGAACGACAAGGAGAAAAGAAAGAGAAGUGAUAAACUGGCUCUUAAAUGUUUCCACCUGGAAGUAAUGCACGUCAUUCCUGCUCAUAAUUCAUUGAUCAAAAAAAGUCACGUGGCUCUACUGAAUUUGAAGGAAGAUAACAAAGUGGAAAUCUAUCUACCUGGAGAAAGGAGAAGAGGAAAUAUUGACUGAUAAACAGCACCAAUGUUGGACACAAGUCCAGCUCAGGUGCCUGUUCUGCGACUUCAGGCAAGUUGCUUUCUAUGCUUCAGUUUACUCAGCUGCUGGAUGGGAUCAGGAUACACCACAUCGAAAUACGCCACUUUGGCAUGACGAUUAUUUUGAGCUAAAGGCAAUCAAGAAACAGCAGAUGCAGAAAAAUCUCUUUCCUCCCCAUUUCUGCAUAAAGGCAGGGCAUAAAUUUCCCUUUGUGAAGGUGUCCACCCUCCCCCACUCCCACACCAGGAAGAAGAAAGGAUUCUGAUCACUGGAGAUGGCACCAUAAGCAUAAGCAAAUGUUACUGAAAUAACCCUUGUCUUCCAUUAGUUUCCCCCAUAUAUUUACUUUCCCACAAUUUACUGCUCCUAGAAGCUCAAACCUUUUUCUUUUAUCUUGUCACUUCUCCACAAGUUUAUCACCCUGUGUUAAAAUGGUAUAUGAGCUCGCAACCCAACCAGUUCUUUGACUUUUCAUUUCCUUUCUGUGAGAUCCCCAUAUACAUGUAAAAAAUUAUAAUAUUAACAUCAAAUUAAAAUGUGCAUGCCUCUUCUUCGUUAACCCGUCUUUUGUCAGUUUAAUGUGCAGGGUCUCAGGCACAGAAUGUAAGAGGGUAGAGGAAAACAUUUUUCCUCUCCUAUACCGCAAAAUGUGGAUAACAACAGAAUCCACCUUAUUGGCAAAGUGAGGAUUAAACAAGAGAAUGUUUGUGUGGCACUUAACACAUGACCAGCUCAUAGUCAGUGCCUAAUAAGUGAGCACCUGUUAGAUAGUCACCAGUACUAGUCCUAUCUACCUC